rnacentral:rRNA from 1 species
GAUGAACGCUGGCGGCGUGCCUAAUACAUGCAAGUCGAGCGAAGCGGGGACGGGUGAGUCACACGUGGAUAACCUCCUAUAAGACUGGGAUAACUUCGGGAAACCGGAGCUAAACCGGUUACUUAUAGAUGGCUACGCGCUGCAUUAGCUAGUUGGUACGGUAACGGCUGACCAAGGCAACGUUGCAUAGGCGCCCUGAGAGUGUGAUCGCCCACACGGGAACUGUGACACGGUCCAGGCUCCUACGGGAGGCAGCAGUAGGGAAUCUUCCGCAAUGGGCGAGAGCCUGGCGGAGCAGAGCCGCGUGAGUGAGGAAGGUCUUCGGAUCGUAAAACUCUGUUAUUAGGGAAGCGUUACCUAGUCAGAAAGCCGCGGCUAACUACGUGCCAGCAGCCGCGGUAAUAC